rnacentral:rRNA from 1 species
AGUGAACGCUGGCGGCAUGCCUAAUACAUGCAAGUCGAACGGCAGCACAGUAAGAGCUUGCUCUUACGGGUGGCGAGUGGCGGACGGGUGAGGAAUACAUCGGCAUCGACUUCUUCGCGGGGGACAACGGAGGGAAACUGACGCUAAUACCGCAUACGACCUACGGCUGAAAGCAGCGGAGCUUCGGACCGUGAGCGACUGAAGGAGCCGCUGUCGGAUUAGCUAGUUGGCGGGGUAAAGGCCCACCAAGGCGACGAUCCGUAGCUGGUCUGAGAGGAUGAUCAGCCACCCUGGAACUGGGACACGGUCCAGACUCCUCCGGGAGGCAGCAGUGGGGAAUAUUGGACAAUGGGCGCAAGCCUGCUCCAGCCCUCCCGCGUGGGUGAAGAAGGCCUUCGGGUUGUAAAGCCCUUUUGUUGGGAAAGACAAGCAGCAGGUUAAUACCCCGCUGUUCUGACGGUACCCAAAGAAUAAGCACCGGCUAACUUCGUG